rnacentral:rRNA from 1 species
GUACACGCUGUGACUAGCAUAUCAAUAAGCGGAGGAAAAGAAACUAACAAGGAUUCCCCUAGUAACGGCGAGUGAAGCGGGAAGAGCUCAAAUUUGAAAUCUUAAAGGGUCUCCCUUUACGAAUUGUAGUUUAAAGAAGUGUUUUCUGUUGAGGUUUUGGUAAAAGUUCUUUGGAAUAGGACAUCAUAGAGGGUGAGAAUCCCGUAUUUGACCUUUACUUUCCAACUUUGUGAUACACUUUCAAAGAGUCGGAUUGUUUGGGAAUGCAGUCCAAAAUGGGUGGUAAAUUUCAUCUAAAGCUAAAUAUUGGCGAGAGACCGAUAGCGAACAAGUACCGUGAGGGAAAGAUGAAAAGAACUUUGAAAAGAGAGUUAAACAGUACGUGAAAUUGUCAAAAGGGAAGCGUUUGACACCAGUGUUGUUUUUCUGAAAAUCAAUUAAAGAACUGUUUAUGCUAAGCUGUUUAGACUUUAUCAGCUAACUGUUUAGUUUUGAGCUUUUCUUUAAUGCACUUUUCAGUUAACAAGUCAACAUCAAUUUCUUUUGCUGUAAAAAAGCUUGAGGAAGGUGGCUUGAGAUUCGUCUUAAGUGUUUAUAGCCUCUUGCCUAUGCAGUCGGAGAGAUUGAGGUCUGCAGCGUAGAUCCUUCGGGGCUAAAUGCAUUUGUGCUAAGUUAUAAGCAUUUUAUAGACAACUUGUUGACUAUGAUUUGUCUUGUAGCUUACUCGCUUAUGUUAUUUUACCUACGCUUAGGAUGUUGAAGUCAUCGUAUCGCGC